UCGCGGCCUAUCAGCUUGUUGGUGAGGUAAUGGCUCACCAAGGCGACGACGGGUAGCCGGCCUGAGAGGGUGACCGGCCACACUGGGACUGAGACACGGCCCAGACUCCUACGGGAGGCAGCAGUGGGGAAUAUUGCACAAUGGGCGAAAGCCUGAUGCAGCGACGCCGCGUGAGGGAUGACGGCCUUCGGGUUGUAAACCUCUUUCAGUAGGGAAGAAGCGAAAGUGACGGUACCUGCAGAAGAAGCGCCGGCUAACUACGUGCCAGCAGCCGCGGUAAUACGUAGGGCGCAAGCGUUAUCCGGAAUUAUUGGGCGUAAAGAGCUCGUAGGCGGUUUGUCGCGUCUAUCGUGAAAGUCCGAGGCUCAACCUCGGAUCUGCGGUGGGUACGGGCAGACUAGAGUGAUGUAGGGGAGACUGGAAUUCCUGGUGUAGCGGUGAAAUGCGCAGAUAUCAGGAGGAACACCGAUGGCGAAGGCAGGUCUCUGGGCAUUAACUGACGCUGAGGAGCGAAGGCAUGGGGAGCGAACAGGAUUAGAUACCCUGGUAGUCCAUGCCGUAAACGUUGGGCACUAGGUGUGGGGGACAUUCCACGUUUUCCGCGCCGUAGCUAACGCAUUAAGUGCCCCGCCUGGGGAGUACGGCCGCAAGGCUAAAACUCAAAGGGAUUGACGGGGGCCCGCACAAGCGGCGGAGCAUGCGGAUUAAUUCGAUGCAACGCGAAGAACCUUACCAAGGCUUGACAUGUGCCAGACCGCCGUGGAAACACGGUUUCCCCUUUGGGGCUGGUUCACAGGUGGUGCAUGGUUGUCGUCAGCUCGUGUCGUGAGAUGUUGGGUUAAGUCCCGCAACGAGCGCAACCCUCGUUCUAUGUUGCCAGCACGUGAUGGUGGGACUCAUAGGAGACUGCCGGGGUCAACUCGGAGGAAGGUGGGGACGACGUCAAAUCAUCAUGCCCCUUAUGUCUUGGCUUCACGCAUGCUACAUGGCCGGUAC
rnacentral:rRNA from 1 species